rnacentral:rRNA from 1 species
UACGGAGGGGGCUAGCGUUGUUCGGAAUUACUGGGCGUAAAGCGCGCGUAGGCGGCUUUGUAAGUUAGAGGUGAAAGCCCGGAGCUCAACUCCGGAACUGCCUUUAAGACUGCAUCGCUAGAAUUGUGGAGAGGUAAGUGGAAUUCCGAGUGUAGAGGUGAAAUUCGUAGAUAUUCGGAAGAACACCAGUGGCGAAGGCGACUUACUGGACACAUAUUGACGCUGAGGUGCGAAAGCGGUGGGGAGCAAACAGG